GGUUAGUGGCCCUGCAAGGAGAUCCUGGAGGUAAGGUGGACAGAGGAAGAGGAUAAAAUUUUACAAGAUGCAGUUCAAAGAUUUAAUGGUAAAUGCUGGAAAAAAAUAGCCAAGUGUCUUCCUGAUCGAACAGAUGUCCAGUGCUUGCAUCGCUGGCAGAAAGUUCUCAAUCCAGAACUAGUUAAAGGGCCUUGGACUAAGGAGGAAGAUGAUCUUAUUGUUGAGUUGGUAGGCAAACAAGGCAACAAAAAGUGGUCUGAAAUAGCU